GCUCCGGUGGCGUAAUCGGUAGCCGCGCUGGACUCAAAAUCCAGUCUCGCAAGAGGUGUCGGUUCAAGUCCGACCCGGAGCACCA
rnacentral:tRNA from 1 species